GUUUGUUUGUUUUUGUUUUGGUAUUUUUUGGGGGAAAAGGGGAAAAGGGGGGGGGGUAGAUCUUUUUUUUUUAUUUCUAUAUCUUUUAAUCUUCAGUGAACUGAGGUGUUACCAGUUCACUUUAUUCUUAAUAUUUUUAUCCUUAUUAUAUUCGUCAUAAACAUGCAUUAGAUAUUUGCCACUGGACAUUAAGCAACGCACAAUCAAUUCAUCUAUUCUUCAUAUUUCAUCAUCUUUUAAUUCUGUUAUUUAUAGUUUUUGGUCCCGCUCCUAAUCUAACCUUGCAUGCCCAUUAUUCUCCUAUCUGUAAUCCCAAUUCAUACCCUCAUAAAUGGUGACCCAUUCAAAGCCUCAUAUGGUAAACGGACUGAAAGUCACAGUUCGGAAAGUCAUGAAUUUGAUAGGACAAAAAGUCACAAAUUAUAUGGUGCACUUUUUUUGUGGAAAAAAAGGGGGGGGGGGCAAUGAGUCUUUUAAACAAAUUCAGUUUUGCCUUUUUUGAAAAUAAGCCGAGAAAAAUACGACAUUAAGUUAAAAAAAAUCGUGUAUGAUAUUGAAAUAAAACAUAUUGUUGUUGAAGAAAGUCACAUUAUACAUAAAAGACAGUUUUGAGAAAAAAUUACAUUAGAAGAACUGGUAAUGUGAGUAUUUUGUUAUGAAGACAUAUCCCAUAUUUCGAUACCAGCAUUCUUGACACUAAAUAUCUAUGCGUUAUUGUGUACCUAUUCUUUAAAAAAAAAGGACACAUAUUAUAGUUCAUAAUUUCUUUGUGAUCAGAAGGUUUAACCUGUUACAUGUAAUUAAUUUUGUAAUCAAUC
rnacentral:lncRNA from 1 species